rnacentral:rRNA from 1 species
CAAUAGCGUAUAUUAAAGUUGUUGCGGUAAAAAAGCUCGUAGUUGGAUUUCUACCGAAGAUAGCCGGUCGGGUCUUCGACCUUGUAUCUGGUUUUGUCUUUGGUAUCCUCAUAGGGAACGUUUCUGCGCUUUAUUGCGUGGUGCGGUAUCUAUGACUUUUACUUUGAGGAAAUUAGAGUGUUCACGGCAGGCAAACGCCUUGAAUAUAUUAGCAUGGAAUAAUAACAUAGGAUCUUCGUCCUAUUUUGUUGGUUUCUAGGGCUAAGAUAAUGAUUAAUAGGGAUAAUUGGGGGCAUCUGUAUCAACGCGUCAGAGGUGGAAUUCUUGGAUUGCGUUACGACGAACUACUGCGAAAGCAUUUGCCAAGGAUGUUUUCAUUGA